rnacentral:tRNA from 1 species
AAGGCCUUAAGUUAAAUAAACUAAUAUCCUUCAAAGCUAUAAAUAAAGGGAUUGCCUUUAGGCCUUG